rnacentral:rRNA from 1 species
UAACAAAAACAUGUCUUAGUGGAAUGUGCUAAUAUAUUCAUAUAAGUGAGUAUAGGAAUAUUUGUAUAUUAAGUCAGGCCUGCCCAAUGAUUAAAUAAUUUAAUGGCUGCAGUAAUUUAACUGUACAAAGGUAGCAUAAUAAUUAGUUUUUUAAUUGAGAACUAGAAUGAAGGGUUUUAUGAAGUAUAUACUUUAUUGAAUUAAUUAAUAUAAUUUUAUUUUUUAGUUAAAAAGCUAAAAUUUAUAUAUAAGACGAGAAGACCCUAUAGAUUUUAAUAGUUAUAAUUAUAUAAUAUGAUAAGGAUUUAUAGUUAAUAUGUUUAUACCUAUUUUAUUGGGGUGAUAGUAAAAUUUAUAAAACUUUUAUAUGUUUAAUCCAUUUAUAUAUGAUUGAUUGAUCCAUUAAUAAUGAUUAUUAGAUUAAAUUACCUUAGGGAUAACAGCACAAUUUAUUUGGAAAGUUCGUAUUAAUAAAUAAGGUUGUGACCUCGAUGUUGGAUUAAAAUUAAUUUUAGGAGUAUAAAUUUAAAUAUUAAGUCUGUUCG